rfam:Dipodomys ordii contig_21751, whole genome shotgun sequence.
GGAAAUGUGGCUUAGUGGUAGAGCGCUUGCCUAGCAUGCAUGAAGCCCUGGGUUUGAUUCCACAGUACCA